rnacentral:rRNA from 1 species
CUGGCUCAGAACGAACGCUGGCGGCGCGUCUUAAGCAUGCAAGUCGAACGGCAAGAGGUAGCAAUACCUCCUAGAGUGGCGGACUGGUGAGUAACACGUGGGUGACAUACCCUUCAGAUGGGGAUAGCUAUUAGAAAUAGUAGAUAAUACCGAAUACGAGCACAGGGGUUAGAGAUCUGUGAGGAAAGGAGCUAAGGCUCCGCUGAAGGAAUGGCCUGCGGCCCAUUAGCUAGUUGGUGAGGUAAGAGCCCACCAAGGCGAUGAUGGGUAUCCGGCCUUAGAGGGUGAACGGACACAUUGGGACUGAGAUACGGCCCAGACUCCUACGGGAGGCAGCAGCUAAGAAUAUUCCGCAAUGGACGAAAGUCUGACGGAGCGACGCCGCGUGGAUGAAGAAGGCCGGAAGGUUGUAAAAUCCUUUGAAACUGAAGAAUAAGCGUUGUAGGGAAUGACAGCGUGGUGACAGUAGGUUUUGAAUAAGCAACGGCUAAUUACGUGCCAGCAGCCGC